UACGUAGGGUGCGAGCGUUUGUCCGGAAUUAUUGGGCGUAAAGGGCUCGUAGGCGGUUUGUCGCGUCGGGAGUGAAAUCCACUGGCUUAACUGGUGGCUUGCUUUCGAUACGGGCAGACUGGAGGUAUGCAGGGGAGAACGGAAUUCCUGGUGUAGCGGUGAAAUGCGCAGAUAUCAGGAGGAACACCGGUGGCGAAGGCGGUUCUCUGGGCAUGUCCUGACGUGAGGAGCGAAAAGUGUGGGGGAGCGAACAGG
rnacentral:rRNA from 1 species